rnacentral:rRNA from 1 species
UACGUAGGGGGCAAGCGUUGUCCGGAUUUACUGGGCGUAAAGAGCGUGUAGGCGGCCAAGCAGGUCCGUUGUGAAAACUGGAGGCUUAACCUCCAGACGUCGACGGAAACCGCGUGGCUAGAGUCCGGAAGAGGAGAGUGGAAUUCCUGGUGUAGCGGUGAAAUGCGCAGAUAUCAGGAAGAACACCAAUGGCGAAGGCAGCUCU